CUGAACUGCUCACAGCCUGCAGGCCAGAGGUCCUCACUCAAGGUGCCCUCAGGGCUUGUCCCCCAGAAGGCCCAAGGGAGGCCCUUCCUGCCUCCUUCAGCAGGGGGACGGGCUGGUGUCCCCGGCUGUGGCUAUGUCACUCGGACCUCGCCUUCUCUCACUGUGCCUGUCCUUUCUCAUCUCUAAGAGGACACGGCUCGCUGGGGUUAAGUCCAUGUUCUGCUCACUCGGCUCGUAGUGACCGUGAUAUCCAAGCCAGAGGCCAGUCCUGUACCCACCAUGCAUACCACACUGCAGGAAGGAAGCCGUGGGGCUCACCAAGGUGGCCUGGCACUUGCAUUUGUCCAGGCUGGGUGGGGUCAUCCGAGGGGUGGUCCGCACCCCGGGCUGCCCUGGCCAACCCAUACCUGUAAGUGACACCUGAACAUCCUGGUCUGAGCCAUGAUCUGUGCCUGGGAUUGGCAAACUACAGCCUCCAGCCAAGUCCAGCAAUGUUUGGACAGCUUUCAAGGUAAGAAUGCUGUUAUGAGCCAGCCAGGCACGGUGGCCUAGAAAUCCCAGCACUGUGGGAAGCUGAGGCAGGAGGGUUGCAAGUUUGUGACAGGUUGUGGAGGGUGGCAACUUAGUGACUUAUAGAGAGCUAUCUCAAAAAAUUAAAAAGGGCUGCGGAUGUAGUUCUGGGUUCGAUCUCAAAAUAAAU
rnacentral:lncRNA from 1 species